rnacentral:rRNA from 1 species
AGUCGAGCGAAUGAAGUUCCUUCGGGAACGGAUUUAGCGGCGGACGGGUGAGUAACACGUGGGCAACCUGCCUCAUAGAGGGGAAUAGCCUUCCGAAAGGGAGAUUAAUACCGCAUAAGAUUGUAGUACCGCAUGGUACAGCAAUUAAAGGAGCAAUCCGCUAUGAGAUGGGCCCGCGGCGCAUUAGCUAGUUGGUGAGGUAACGGCUCACCAAGGCGACGAUGCGUAGCCGACCUGAGAGGGUGAUCGGCCACAUUGGGACUGAGACACGGCCCAGACUCCUACGGGAGGCAGCAGUGGGGAAUAUUGCACAAUGGGGGAAACCCUGAUGCAGCAACGCCGCGUGAGUGAUGACGGCCUUCGGGUUGUAAAGCUCUGUCUUCAGGGACGAUAAUGACGGUACCUGAGGAGGAAGCCACGGCUAACUACGUGCCAGCAGCCGCGGUAAUACGUAGGUGGCGAGCGUUGUCCGGAUUUACUGGGCGUAAAGGGAGCGUAGGCGGAUUUUUAAGUGAGAUGUGAAAUACUCGGGCUUAACCUGAGUGCUGCAUUUCAAACUGGAAGUCUAGAGUGCAGGAGAGGAGAAGGGAAUUCCUAGUGUAGCGGUGAAAUGCGUAGAGAUUAGGAAGAACACCAGUGGCGAAGGCGCUUCUCUGG